rnacentral:lncRNA from 1 species
GCUAGUCAUGGGUAAAGGGUUCCAAGGACUUUCCUACCUAGUGUCAGAUCAGAGCCUGGGAGUGGCUGGGAGUGGAGGCGUUGCUCAACUGAUCUUUGGUGGAGGUGCUUUUGGCCUAAUGGAAGGUGGAUGGAUCUCACUAUGUUGCCAAGGCUGGCUCGAGAACUCCUGGGCUCAACCAAUCCUCCUGCCUCAGCCUCCCAAAUAGCUGGGACUACAGAAUGGACUUUUCAUCCAUGUGGCUGUGAUCAGUUCCUAAAGCAGAGGAAUCUGCAGCCUAAUGACACAUCAGGAAUUGAUGGAACCCCAGCAGACAGCUUCUAUGAGGAGAUUAGGACUCUCAGAAGAGACACCAGAGGCGUGGCCACACAGAGAAAAAGAUCAUGUGGGGACACAGUGAAAAGGCAGCCAUCAUAAGCCACAGAGAGAGGACUCAGAAGAAACCAACUCUGCUGACACCUUCAUCUUGAACUUCUAGCCUCUAGAACUGUGAAAAAACAAAUUUCUGUUGUUAAGACACCCGGUCUGUGGUAUUUUGUUAAGACAGCCCUAGCAAACUAACACAAUUUUGUACACUAAAUAAAGUCCAAUUCAAUUUUAAUUUUAUAGAAACUGAAACAAAUAAUUUAAAGAUUUACUUAGUAAAUUACUUCAGAUUGGGAUCAAAUGUGUACAUGAAUUAUGAAAAUGUAAGAAAUGGAUAUUUAAAUAAGUAUACCAGAACAUAAAAAUUCCAGUGCCUGGUUUUUUUUUUUUUUUUGAAAGCCACUUAUCCCAACAAUAAAACUGAUGCUCAAAAUAUUUUGGGACCUAUCUUUAUACUCUGUUAAUUAUGCACUCAAGAAAAUAAGUGUGACUAUAUUACAGCCACUCCAUUUUUGUUUGUUUGUUUAUGUUAUUCAGCUUAGUCAUUUAAACAAUUUUCACUGCAAUCGCUACAAGUUUUGUUGUUUCUUAGUAUUGAAUCCACUCUCAAGGGAUGAUGACUUUCCAC